rnacentral:rRNA from 1 species
UUUUAACAAACAUGUCCUUUUGAUUAAUAUAAAUAUAAGGUCUAACCUGCCCAAUGAUUAUAUAUAAAUUUAAUGGCCGCAGUAUCCUAACUGUGCAAAGGUAGCAUAAUCAUUUGUCCUUUAAUUGUGGACUUGUAUGAAUGGUUUGAUGAGGGAUAAUCUUUCUUUAUUUUAUUAUUAAUAACUUAAUUUUUAAGUCAAAAAGCUUAUAUAUUAUUAAGUGACGAGAAGACCCUAUAGAACUUUACUAUUAACAAUAUACUUAAUAUAUUGUUAAUUAAUAGAAAUUUAUAUUAUUAAUAGUUUUAUUGGGGAGAUAAUUAAAUUUAAUUAACUUUAAUUUAAUCUAUUUCAAGAAUUGUUGUAUAUAAUUGAUCCAUUUUUAAUGAUUAAAAGAUAUAGUUACCUUAGGGAUAACAGCGUAAUUUCAUUGGAAAGUUCAUAUUAAUAGUGGAGUUUGCGACCUCGAUGUUGGAUUAAAAUAAGUAUUAAGUGCAGAAGCUUAAUAACUAAGUCUGUUCGACUUUUAAAUUUUUACAUGUCGGUUUUU